rnacentral:lncRNA from 1 species
GUGACACCAGGGCUCAUGGUGACAUUGGGCUCACGGUGACUUUGGGACUUGUGGAGAAGCUGGGACUCACGGUGACACCGGAGGCAUCAUGGUGACACCGGGGCUCGUGGUGAUGCUGGGACUCAUGGUGACACCAGAACACACCAUGACAUUAUGGCUCGUGGUGACACCGGGACUCACGGUGACACCAGGGCUCACGGUGACACCAGGGACAUCAUGGUGACACCAGGGCUCGUGGUGACACAGGGGGUCACGGAGAUGCUGGGACUCACGGUGACACCAGGACUCACGAUGACAUUAUGGCUCACGGUGACACCGGGGCUAAUGGUGGCUCAUGGUGGUGCUCAGGACUCGGGGUGACACUGGGCUCACGGUGACACCAGGGUUGAUAGUGACGCUGUGGCUCGCGGUGACACCAGAGCUCACGGUGACUUUGGGGCUCACGGAGAUGCUGGGACUCACGGUGACACCAGGACCAUCGUGGUGACACCAGGACACACGAUGACGUUAUGGCUCGUGGUGACACCAGGGCUCACGGUGACAUCGGGCUCAUGGUGACAUUGGGUUCACGGUGCCACCAGGGUUGAUGGUGACACUGUAGUUCACGGUGACACCAGGGCUCGGGGCUACUGGAGGUCACGGUGACACCGGGACACACGAGGAAGGCUCACGGUGACAUUGUGGCUCACGGUGACACCGUGAUGCUGUGGCUGGUGGUGACACCAGGACACGUGGUGACACCAGGGCUCACGGUGACGUUGUGGAGGACGGUGACACCGGGGCUCACGGUGACACCAGAUCUCACGUCCCUGCACGUGGUGACCCUGUCACCGUGUCACCGCGCCGUCGGGGACACCCUGGUGACACCGUCCCCCACACCAUGGGGACAACCGGUGGGUGUUGGGGACCACGGUGGUGACGCGGUGUCCCCGUGUUGGGGACGAUGGUGGUGGCAUCAUCUCUUGGGGGGCUGUUGUGGUCACACGGUGUGUCCCCCCCCUUGGGGACCGUCGUGGUUGUGGGGUGUCACCGCGCUGGGGACAGUCGGUGGUGGCACAUUGUCCCCCCCUUGGACAGUCGGUGGUGGGGGUUGGGGACAAUGGUGGUGGCGCGGUUGUUGUGGGGAGCGCUGUGGUGUCACCGUGUCCCUGCGGUGGGGACAGCCGUGGUGUCACCGUGUUGGGGACCAUCUCGGGGUCCCCACGUCCCACCUUUGGGGGCUGUCGCGGUGUCCCCACGGCCUUGGGUCGGGGACCGUCGUGGUGUCACCCUGGUGGGGACCCUCGUGGUGUCCCCACCUCCCUGUGUUGAGGACCCUCAUGGUGUCCCCAACCUUGGGGACCACCGUGGUGUCACCGUGUCCCCACGUUGGGGACCACCUCAGGGUCCCCACCUCCCUGUGUUGGGGACCAUGGGUGGUGUCACCUGUUGGGGACCCUCACGGUGUCCCCACGUCCUUGUAUCGGGGACCCUCACGGUGUCACCCUCUUGGGGACCCUCACGGUGUCCCCACGUCCUUGUAUCAGGGACCAUCACAGUGUCACCCUGUUGGGGACCCUCACGGUGUCCCCACCUCUCCACGUUGGGGACCACUGUGGUGUCCCCACAUCCCCUGUGUCGGGGACCCUCCUGGUGUCUCCACCUUUGGGGACGCUCCUGGUGUCCUCACGUCACCUGGUUGGGGACCAUGGGUGGUGUCACCCUGUUGGGGACACCAGGAGGGUCUUCGUGUCAGGGACCACCGUGGUGUCACGGUGUCCCCACGUCCUUGUAUCAGGGACCAUCACGGUGUCACCCUGUUGGGGACCCUCACGGUGUCUCCACCUUUGGGGACCCUCCUGGUGUCCUCACGUCACCUGGUUGGGGACCACCGUGGUGUCACCCUGUUGGGGACACCAUGAGGGUCACCGUGUCCCCACGUUGGGGUCCCUCAUGGUGUCCCCGCGUCCUUGUAUCAAGGACCCUCACGGUGUCCCCCACCUUUGGGGACCCUCCCGGUGUCCCCACAUCUCUGUGUUGGGGACCACCGUGGUGUCACCCUCUUGGGGACACCCUGAGGGUCCCCACGUCCCCCGGUUGGGGACCCUCAUGGUGUCCCCACGUUGGGGACCCUCGUGGUGUCCCCGUGUCCCCACCCUGGGGACCCCCCCUCUGUCCCCACCUCCCACCUUCGGGGGUCCCUCCCGG